rnacentral:rRNA from 1 species
UACGAAGGGGGCUAGCGUUGUUCGGAAUUACUGGGCGUAAAGGGCGCGCAGGCGGUUCCUCAAGUCAGGCGUGAAAGCCCCGGGCUCAACCUGGGAACUGCGCUUGAGACUGCGGGACUGGAGUUCGGGAGAGGAGAGCGGAAUUCCCAGUGUAGAGGUGAAAUUCGUAGAUAUCAGGAGGAACACCGGUGGCGAAGGCGGGUCUCUGGGCCGAUACUGACGCUGAGGAGCGAAAGCGUGGGGAGCGAACAGG